GCUGGGCACAUUGGUGUGCACCUAUAGUCCCUGCUACUCAGGAGACUGGGGUGGGAAGAUCGCUUGAACCCAGGAGUUCUGGACUGUACACGCUAUGCCGAUCACGGGUCUGCACUAAAUGAGGCAUCAAUAUGAUGACCUCGUGAGAAUAGGGGACCCCUGGUUGUCUAAGGAGGGGUGGAAGCAGUUAAUCAAAACUUCGAUGCUGAUCUGUAAUGGAAUCAUGCCUGUGAAUAGCCACUCACUGCACUCCAGCCUGGGCAACAUAGUGAGACCCUGUCUCA
rnacentral:SRP_RNA from 1 species